UGGAGGCAGGAUUAUUUGAUGAAUUUAAAAUCUGCUCAUAAUUCCAAACUGGCAAAAACAGGAACCUGUUUGAAUAAAGGAACUAUUGUAUUAGUGCAUGAAGAUAAAAUUCCACGGCUGAUGUGGAAGAUGGGCACCAUAAGUCUUUCCUGGGAGAGAUGGCAAGGUGAGAGCCUGUGCUGUCCGCUUGCCCAAUGGACAUACGAUUAAAAGACCAGUGCAAUUACUAUAUCCGGUGGAGCUGGAAUGUAAUGAGGACAAUUACGGCAAUUGUCCUUCCGGGCGGGAGGAUGUUGCAACUCAACUCUUGCUGAGAUCCGAUGGCUGAGUUACGUCAUCUUGAACUAUGAACUCUCGCUAGAGAUCACGAGAACUCGGGACUGAGAAGUCGCACGCUGCGUCGUGCGAACAUUUAAACCUUUCAUUAUGUAAAAAUUAUGUAACCGUUAACGUCUUCAUUAAAUAUAUUUGUGUUAGGAAAGUUUAUCAUUUAUGGAUUAUCCCUCUCAAGAUUUUGCAGAUGCACAGCACAGAGGAACUUCAGCCCAUUGGCCCUGGCCGAACCCAUUGGAACAAGAAAGAAUAUGGUAAUGCC